rnacentral:misc_RNA from 1 species
AACCUUAUGGACCUGCGGGCGUAUACCUGCGGAAGGAUCAUUACAGAGUUGCAAGACUCCCUAAACCAUUGUGAACCUACCUUCUACCGUUGCUUCGGCGGGCGGGCCCAGCGCCCCCCCCGGCCCCCCGCGGGCGCCCGCCGGAGGAUACCCAAACUCUUGACAUUAGUGGCCUCUCUGAGUAUUCUUUACUGAAUAAGUCAAAACUUUUAACAACGGAUCUCAGAUCGGAAGAGCACA